rnacentral:rRNA from 1 species
GACGAACCGGACAAACGUUAUUCGGAAUUACUGGGCUUAAAGGGUGCGUAGGCGGCGAGGAAAGUUGGGUGUGAAAUCCCUCGGCUCAACCGAGGAACUGCGCUCAAAACUACCUUGCUCGAGGAAGACAGAGGAGAGCGGAACUGAGGGUGGAGCGGUGAAAUGCGUUGAUAUCCUCAGGAACACCGGUGGCGAAGGCGGCUAGCUCUGGGUCUUUUCUGACGCUGAGGCACGAAAGCUAGGGGAGCGA